GUCAUGUCUGUCCAGUUCACCCAUAACUACCGGAUUUGUUGCUCUUUAACUUAAUUCAAGUAUAAAUUUACUAAAGCUUAAUCUAGCCUUCUCUGAUGCCAAUUCUUCGCAAAGUGUAUGACUUAGUGACCCCAUUGAGUGUUUAUAGUUUAUAUAAUCCCAUAUUUCACUGCCAUACAUUAAGACAUAUUUGACUGUAUGGUAAAAUACAAGGAGUUUUUAUUUUUGGUUUGUAAUCUCAAAAUAUUGAUAAGGCCUUUUGCCCCUUUUUGUACAUUUUAUGUUUCGGAUCAGCAUUCUGUAAAUUAUCUAUAUGAUACUGAAUAAGAAGAAGUAUUGUUCCAAAAACAUCAGGUAUCAAAACACAACUUAAUGAAACACUCACGAUGAAAAGUUGACCUUAAAACAGAUAAAAUAGAAACUGACAGUUUUUGUGUUACCAUUAAAUUAACACUGAACACUCCUUAUUACAUGAUUUUCCUCCACAAAGCAUUAUUUUAAAUAAUCCCAAGUUAUAUGAGUGAAUUUUCCAAGUCCAAGGUCCCUAGCUCUCCACAAAAUUAUCAGACCGAAACAAAAAUUCGAAGUUGAUCUGUAACUUGUCAUGAUGAAAUGAUAUACAAAUUAUCAAAACAGUAUCUUCAAGCAUGACAAAAAGUGGGAUAAACCCUUUAACAUUAGAUAUGAUUAAUAGUUCUAUAAAAUUAGUUAGGUUGAAACACAAUUAAAUAUAUAAAAAAGAAAUGUGGUAUGAUUGCCAAUGAGAGCAAAAUGACACAGAAAUUAACAACUAUAGGUUACAAUGUAUGCCUAUUUACAAAUUCUAAUGAAUAUAAUUAAAAGAUCAAAAUAUUUUAUCUUUCAUUUGUCACAAACUAAUAUAGAUUUGCCACUUGGUCACUGGAAUCAACAAUUUUUAUCUACACAAUGUUAUGUAAUGUAAUGAAA
rnacentral:lncRNA from 1 species